GUCCUACGGGGGGCAGCAGUAGGGAAUCUUCCACAAUGGGCGAAAGCCUGAUGGAGCAACGCCGCGUGGGUGAAGAAGGUCUUCGGAUCGUAAAACCCUGUUGUUAGAGAAGAAAGGGCGUGAGAGUAACUGUUCACGUUUCGACGGUAUCUAACCAGAAAGCCACGGCUAACUACGUGCCAGCAGCCGCGGUAAUACGUAGGUGGCAAGCGUUAUCCGGAUUUAUUGGGCGUAAAGAGAACGCAGGCGGUCUUUUAAGUCUGAUGUGAAAGCCUUCGGCUUAAUCGGAGUAGUGCAUUGGAAAC
rnacentral:rRNA from 1 species